AUUAAACGCUGGCGGAAUGCUUUACACAUGCAAGUCGAACGGCAGCACGGACUUCGGUCUGGUGGCGAGUGGCGAACGGGUGAGUAAUGUAUCGGAACGUGCCCAGUCGUGGGGGAUAACGUAGUGAAAAUUACGCUAAUACCGCAUACGAUCUAUGGAUGAAAGCGGGGGAUCGCAAGACCUCGCGCGAUUGGAGCGGCCGAUAUCAGAUUAGGUAGUUGGUGGGGUAAAGGCCCACCAAGCCAACGAUCUGUAGCUGGUCUGAGAGGACGACCAGCCACACUGGAACUGAGACACGGUCCAGACUCCUACGGGAGGUAGCACUGGGGAAUUUUGGACAAUGGGCGAAAGCCUGAUCCAGCCAUUCCGCGUGCAGGAUGAAGGCCCUCGGGUUGUAAACUGCUUUUGUACAGAACGAAAAGGUUUCUACUAAUACUAGGAGCUCAUGACGGUACUGUAAGAAUAAGCACCGGCUAACUACGUGCCAGCAGCCGCGGUAA
rnacentral:rRNA from 1 species